rnacentral:rRNA from 1 species
AUUGAACGCUGGCGGCAUGCCUUACACAUGCAAGUCGAACGGCAGCACGGGUGCUUGCACCUGGUGGCGAGUGGCGAACGGGUGAGUAAUAUAUCGGAACGUACCUUAUUGUGGGGGAUAACGCAGCGAAAGCUGUGCUAAUACCGCAUAAUCCCUAAGGGGGAAAGCGGGGGACCGUAAGGCCUCGCGCAAUUAGAGCGGCCGAUACCUGAUUAGCUAGUUGGUGAGGUAAAGGCUCACCAAGGCAACGAUAAGUAGCUGGUCUGAGAGGACGAUCAGCCACACUGGGACUGAGACACGGCCCAGACUCCUACGGGAGGCAGCAGUGGGGAAUUUUGGACAAUGGGGGCAACCCUGAUCCAGCAAUGCCGCGUGAGUGAAGAAGGCCUUCGGGUUGUAAAGCUCUUUUGUCAGGGAGGAAACAGCAGCUCUAACACAGUAUGCGAAUGACGGUACCUGAAGAAUAAGCACCGGCUAACUACGUGCCAGCCGCCGCCGUAA